CCCGACCGCUACAUCAAUCCAAACAUCUUCCGACUCGCGCCACAAUCUGGAGCAAUGGUGUCUGCCAUCUCGGUAAGAUCCUUCGAUCACGUAGACUCUCUGGGCAGUAAUUCCUCGAGAACCUGGAAGGUAGCAGUAGCAGCGUCAGUCUCCGCAGCAGCUGCUGCCAUCGCAGUUAUCAUCAUCGUCGCCAUCUUCUUUUGCAAGAGAUCCAGGAAGAACUUUCGGGCAAAGAGUUUUUCUAUCUACAGUGACACCGUUGGGAUCAAAGUCUACAGCUACAAGGAACUCUACGAGGCAACCGAUGGAUUCAAUCCAACGAAGAAGCUCGGGCAAGGAGGAUUCGGCAGCGUCUACGUGGGGAACUUGCAAGACCAAACUCUAGUCGCAGUCAAGCAACUCCUCCAUCAAACCCAGCAAGGCCGGGAGGCUUUCCGGAAAGAAAUCCGGAUUCUAAGCAGCGUCCAGCACAGGAAUCUCGUGGCAGUGAGAGGAUACUGCCUCGAGGCCGAGCAUCCAAUGCUGGUAUGCGACUACAUGCGCAACGGAAGCCUAGACCACUUCCUACACGGGAGCAGGGGAUUUCUCACCUGGAAUCAGCGCCGGAAGAUCGCGAUCGACACCGCAUUUGGCCUGGCGUACCUCCACGAUGAAUCCAAGCACCGGAUCAUCCACUGCGACCUCAAAC
rnacentral:lncRNA from 1 species